rnacentral:miRNA from 1 species
UGUGUACGUGUGUGUGUAUGUAUGUGUAUAUAUAUAUAUAUACACAUACAUACACAUACACGUACACAUA